rnacentral:misc_RNA from 1 species
GAAAUGCGAUAAGUAAUGUGAAUUGCAGAAUUCAGUGAAUCAUCGAAUCUUUGAACGCACAUUGCGCCCGCCAGUAUUCUGGCGGGCAUGCCUGUUCGAGCGUCAUUUCAACCAUCAAGCCCCCGGCUUGUGUUGGGGACCUGCGGCUGCCCGCAGGCCCUGAAAAACAGUGGCGGGCUCGCUGUCACACCGAGCGUAGUAGCAUACAUUCUCGCUCAGGGCGUGCUGCGGGUUCCGGCCGUUAAACGACCUUCAUAACCCAAGGUUGACCUCGGAUCGGUAGGAAGACCCGCUGAACUUAAGC